rnacentral:lncRNA from 1 species
UUGGUCCCAAAAAAACCCAUCAUCAACCAGGAUAUAAUAUUCCAAAUUUUAAUUUAUUAUACUAAUAUCAGUUGAAAUCUCAAGCCACUAUUUUGCAUGUUUACAAUGUAGGUCAUGUCCCAACAGAAAAUCAAUGAAUUUGACAGUACAAUGUACUCUUAGCACAAACACAUAAGGUCACUGUGAAAUAGACAUCUAGGGCAAGAAACAGUCAGUUAUACCAAACCAGUUUGACUAGAUGUCUACUUUAAAACCAGUUUGACUAGAUGUGUCCUAUAUUUUGACAAUGUAAAUGACAUGAGGACCUGCAUGGGUUUUUUAAUAUCUGUAUUCUUUAAAUUUUAUGGCAUUUUUCUUUUAAGGGGGUUCGCGGGUCUAAAUCAUUUAUAUAGGAUUUCUCUAUAUUUUUCUAUAAAUGAACUUUAUCUUAUCGUUAUUAGAAAAAUAAAAUAAAAAAAAUGGGGUCACCGUUCAUUUGCGCUCACAAUCUGCCUUCGAAAGAAGCAUAAAAGUGGUGUUUUUCUGUUGAAUUAAUAGGAGAAAUAAAGGUAAUAUCGAAAUAAAAAAAGAAAUUUAUUACAGAAAUCGCUCAAAUUUUACAAUAAUUUAGUUUAAGUACAGCAUAUAUAAAAAUUAUAUUAAAAAAUAUAGGUCACCGACGAGUUAAAAGAGAUAUUUCAA